CCUACGGGCGGCAGCAGUGAGGAAUAUUGGUCAAUGGACGGAAGUCUGAACCAGCCAUGCCGCGUGCAGGAAGACGGCUCUAUGAGUUGUAAACUGCUUUUGUACAAGGGUAAACCUGAAUACGUGUAUUCAGCUGAAAGUACUGUACGAAUAAGGAUCGGCUAACUCCGUGCCAGCAGCCGCGGUAAUACGGAGGAUGCAAGCGUUAUCCGGAUUUAUUGGGUUUAAAGGGUGCGUAGGCGGAUUGAUAAGUUAGAGGUGAAAUGUCCGAGCUUAACUCGGGAACUGCCUCUAAUACUGUUGGUCUAGAGAGUAGAUGCGGUAGGCGGAAUGUAUGGUGUAGCGGUGAAAUGCUUAGAGAUCAUACAGAACACCGAUUGCGAAGGCAGCUUACCAAUCUAUAUCUGACGUUGAGGCACGAAAGCGUGGGGAGCAAACAGGAUUAGAUACCCUUGUAGUC
rnacentral:rRNA from 1 species